rnacentral:rRNA from 1 species
AACGAACGCUGGCGGCAUGCCUAACACAUGCCAGUCGAACGAAGCCUUCGGGCUUAGUGGCGCACGGGUGCGUAACGCGUGGGAAUCUGCCCCUUUCUUCGGAAUAACAGUUAGAAAUGACUGCUAAUACCGGAUGAAGUCUUCGGACCAAAGAUUUAUCGGCAAGGGAUGAGCCCGCGUAGGAUUAGGUAGUUGGUGGGGUAAAGGCCUACCAAGCCGACGAUCCUUAGCUGGUCUGAGAGGAUGAUCAGCCACACUGGGACUGAGACACGGCCCAGACUCCUACGGGAGGCAGCAGUGGGGAAUAUUGGACAAUGGACGCAAGUCUGAUCCAGCAAUGCCGCGUGAGUGAUGAAGGCCUUAGGGUUGUAAAGCUCUUUUACCAGGGAUGAUAAUGACAGUACCUGGAGAAUAAGCUCCGGCUAACUCCGUG